GAUGACAAAGACAACAAAAAAUAUAUCCUUUCAAGCCUUGGAAAGAAAUGGCGAGAUGCACGAUGUAGGUUAUUUAAGAAAUUUUAUAAGUGGGAUCUUUCUUUGGAGGAAAAUCUACAAAAUUAUUGACGUUCUAUUAAUGAAGACCAUUGGACUAUUUUUGUCCAAUACAGGCGUAAGACAGAUACAAUGGAGAAGGCUGAUAAAAAUGCUGCACAUAGAGAAAAGCUAACGAUCCUUCAUACAUUAGGCUCUAAGACGCUUGCAAGGAAGAGGGAUGAGUUGGAACUGAGAGAUGGUCGAAAAUACAGUAGGGGUGAAAUGUAUUCAAUUUGUCAUAAAAAGUCUGAUGGGUCAUUUGUCAA